rnacentral:rRNA from 1 species
UACGUAGGUGGCAAGCGUUGUCCGGAUUUACUGGGCGUAAAGGGCGUGCAGGCGGUUUGGUAAGUGCAGAGUGAAAGCUCCCGGCUCAACUGGGAGAGGUCUUUGCAUACUGGCAAACUCGAGGGAGGCAGAGGAAAGUGGAAUUCCCGGUGUAGUGGUGAUAUGCGUAGAUAUCGGGAGGAACACCUGUGGCGAAGGCGGCUUUCUGGGCCUUACCUGACGCUGAGACGCGAAAGCGUGGGUAGCGAACAGG